rnacentral:rRNA from 1 species
AUUGAACGCUGGCGGCAGGCCUAACACAUGCAAGUCGAGCGGAUGAAGGGAGCUUGCUCCUGGAUUCAGCGGCGGACGGGUGAGUAAUGCCUAGGAAUCUGCCUGGUAGUGGGGGAUAACGUCCGGAAACGGGCGCUAAUACCGCAUACGUCCUGAGGGAGAAAGUGGGGGAUCUUCGGACCUCACGCUAUCAGAUGAGCCUAGGUCGGAUUAGCUAGUUGGUGGGGUAAAGGCCUACCAAGGCGACGAUCCGUAACUGGUCUGAGAGGAUGAUCAGUCACACUGGAGCUGAGACACGGUCCAGACUCCUACGGGAGGCAGCAGUGGGGAAUAUUGGACAAUGGGCGAAAGCCUGAUCCAGCGAUGCCGCGUGUGUGAAGAAGGUCUUCGGAUUGUAAAGCACUUUAAGUUGGGAGGAAGGGCAGUAAGUUAAUACCUUGCUGUUUUGACGUUACCAACAGAAUAAGCACCGGCUAACUUCGUG